rnacentral:rRNA from 1 species
UGGGUAGUCCGUACGAGCGCACCCUAUCCUUAGUUGCCAGCGAGUAAUGUCGGGAACUCUAGGGAGACUGCCGGUGACAAACCGGAGGAAGGUGGGGACGACGUCAAGUCAUCAUGGCCCUUAUGGGCAGGGCUACACACGUGCUACAAUGGCCGGUACAGAGGGCAGCGAAGUCGCAAGGCGGAGCAAAUCUCAGAAAACCGGUCGUAGUCCGGAUUGCAGUCUGCAACUCGACUGCAUGAAGUUGGAAUCGCUAGUAAUCGCGGAUCAGAACGCCGCGGUGAAUACGUUCCCGGGCCUUGUACACACCGCCCGUCACACCAUGGGAGUGGGCUGUACCAGAAGUAGGUAGUCUAACCUUCGGGAGGACGCUUACCACGGUGUGGUUCAUGACUGGGGUGAAGUCGUAACAAGGUAGCCCUAGGGGAACCUGGGGCUGGAUCACCUCCUU